rnacentral:snRNA from 1 species
GCUUGAUCUGGCUGAAACAUCUGUCACCCCAAUGAACGCCAGGGUUGAUUCCACUGAUCUGACUGGCUAGGCAGGUGCGUCCCUCCUGAAGCUGCAUCUGUUGGUCCUGUGUCGGUCCCUCAAAGAGGGCAACCUUCCCCAAUAAAGGAGGACUAGUCUUUGCUCAAGGUACAGGAGUAGCUGUCUUCCCCAAUAAAACCUCCAAACAAGCUCUCCUUACCUUCUGAUUGAGAGACAGAGUCUCUCCCUGAAGUUAGAACCACACACGCUGUGCCUAGACUGACUACUCAGCAGGUUCCU